rnacentral:rRNA from 1 species
UACGUAGGGGGCAAGCGUUGUCCGGAAUCAUUGGGCGUAAAGAGCGCGUAGGCGGUCCGGUAAGUCCGCUCUGAAAGUCCGGGGCUCAACCCCGGGAGGCGGGCGGAUACUGUCGGGCUAGAGUCCGGAAGAGGCGAGUGGAAUUCCCAGUGUAGAGGUGAAAUUCGUAGAUAUUGGGAAGAACACCGGUGGCGAAGGCGGCGACCUGGUCCGAUACUGACGCUGAGGCGCGAAAGCGUGGGGAGCAAACAGG